CAGGUCCUCAAUUGUGCAUUUGUUUUGGAGCGGACACGUCGGAAAACGAAACCAGAAACUUGCAUAUUUUCUCAUGAUUUUGCAGAAAGCAAGUGAAAAUGGUGUUCGAGAGCUACGUUGUGAGCAUUUUGAACAAAUUUCUUGGACAGUAUGUCGAAAACUUGGACGCUUCGCAAUUUCAAAUGAGUAUAUGGGGAGGUCUGUAUAUGUCUUUUAAAUCUCCCCAUCCCUCGUGACUUCGCAUGCAUAUAAAAUUGAAUUAAAUAUUUUCCCCUUUCAACUGUUUUGCAUUCGUAUUUUGCCUUGUUUAGGCGAUGUAAAGCUUGAAAAUUUAGUUUUAAAAGAAAAUGCUUUGGUAAGGCUUUAGAAUUAGGAUUAUUUUUAUGAUAAAAGGCUAUUUUGUUCUUUUAAAUAUCUUGUUUGUUUAUCUGUGGUAAAUUAUCAUCUAGCAGAUUCUA
rnacentral:lncRNA from 1 species